rnacentral:rRNA from 1 species
CCUUGUACACACCGCCCGUCACACCACGAAAGCCGGUUGUACCAGAAGUCGCCCAGCUAACCGCAAGGAGGCAGGCGCCGAAGGUAUGGUCGGUGAUUGGGGUG